rnacentral:rRNA from 1 species
UACAGAGGGUGCAAGCGUUAAUCGGAAUUACUGGGCGUAAAGCGUGCGUAGGUGGUUCUUUAAGUCAGGUGUGAAAUCCCUGGGCUCAACCUGGGAACUGCAUUUGUGACUGCAUCGCUGGAGUGCGGCAGAGGGGGAUGGAAUUCCGCGUGUAGCAGUGAAAUGCGUAGAUAUGCGGAGGAACACCGAUGGCGAAGGCAAUCCCCUGGGCCUGCACUGACGCUCAUGCACGAAAGCGUGGGGAGCAAACAGG